rnacentral:rRNA from 1 species
AUUGAACGCUGGCGGCAGGCUUAACACAUGCAAGUCGAGCGGGGUGAUGGUGCUUGCACUAUCACUUAGCGGCGGACGGGUGAGUUAUGCUUAGGAAUCUGCCUAUUAGUGGGGGACAACAUCUCGAAAGGGAUGCUAAUACCGCAUACGUCCUACGGGAGAAAGCAGGGGAUCACUUGUGACCUUGCGCUAAUAGAUGAGCCUAAGUCGGAUUAGCUAGUUGGUGGGGUAAAGGCCUACCAAGGCGACGAUCUGUAGCGGGUCUGAGAGGAUGAUCCGCCACACUGGGACUGAGACACGGCCCAGACUCCUACGGGAGGCAGCAGUGGGGAAUAUUGGACAAUGGGGGGAACCCUGAUCCAGCCAUGCCGCGUGUGUGAAGAAGGCCUUAUGGUUGUAAAGCACUUUAAGCGAGGAGGAGGCUCUUUUGGUUAAUACCCAAGAUGAGUGGACGUUACUCGCAGAAUAAGCACCGGCUAACUCUGUGCCAGCCGCGCAGUAA